UGCAAGUCGAACGGGAUUGAGAAGCUUGCUUUUCAUGAGAGUGGCGCACGGGUGCGUAACACGUAUGUAACCUACCUUAAUCUGGGGGAUAGCCUCUCGAAAGAGAGAUUAACACCGCAUAACAUUACCGGACAGCAUUUUCUGGUAAUCAAAUAUUUAUAGGAUUAAGAUGGGCAUGCGGAACAUUAGCUAGUUGGUAAGGUAAUGGCUUACCAAGGCUACGAUGUUUAGGGGAUCUGAGAGGAUGACCCCCCACACUGGUACUGAGACACGGACCAGACUCCUACGGGAGGCAGCAGUAAGGAAUAUUGGUCAAUGGGCGCAAGCCUGAACCAGCCAUGCCGCGUGCAGGAAGACGGCCCUACGGGUUGUAAACUGCUUUUGUACCGGAAUAAACCUUUUCACGUGUGAGAAGCUGAAUGUACGGUAAGAAUAAGGAUCGGCUAACUCCGUGCCAGCAGCCGCGGUAAUACGGAGGAUCCAAGCGUUAUCCGGAUUUAUUGGGUUUAAAGGGUGCGUAGGCGGUUCUUUAAGUCAGGGGUGAAAGACGGUAGCUUAACUAUCGCAGUGCCUUUGAUACUGAAGAACUUGAAUACACUUGAGGUAGGCGGAAUGUGACAAGUAGCGGUGAAAUGCAUAGAUAUGUCACAGAACACCAAUUGCGAAGGCAG
rnacentral:rRNA from 1 species